UACGUAGGUGACCAGCGUUGUCCGGAUUUACUGGGCGUAAAGAGCGCGCAGGCGGUCGUUCAAGUCGAGUGUGAAAGCCCCCCGGCUCAACUGGGGAGGGUCAUUCGAUACUGAUCGACUCGAAGGCAGGAGAGGGAAGUGGAAUUCCCGGUGUAGUGGUGAAAUGCGUAGAUAUCGGGAGGAACACCAGUGGCGAAGGCGACUUCCUGGCCUGUUCUUGACGCUGAGGCGCGAAAGCUAGGGGGAGCAAACGGGG
rnacentral:rRNA from 1 species